UACGUAGGGUGCAAGCGUUAAUCGGAAUUACUGGGCGUAAAGCGUGCGCAGGCGGUGAUGUAAGACAGAUGUGAAAUCCCCGGGCUCAACUUGGGAACUGCAUUUGUGACUGCAUCGCUGGAGUGCGGCAGAGGGGGAUGGAAUUCCGCGUGUAGCAGUGAAAUGCGUAGAUAUGCGGAGGAACACCGAUGGCGAAGGCAAUCCCCUGGGCCUGCACUGACGCUGAGGUGCGAAAGCGUGGGGAGCAAACAGG
rnacentral:rRNA from 1 species